UUCUACCUACGGGGGGCAGCAGUGAGGAAUAUUGGUCAAUGGGCGCGAGCCUGAACCAGCCAAGUCGCGUGAGGGAUGACGGCCCUACGGGUUGUAAACCUCUUUUGCCGGGGAGCAACGGGCGCCACGUGUGGCGCCACUGAGAGUACCCGGAGAAAAAGCAUCGGCUAACUCCGUGCCAGCAGCCGCGGUAAUACGGAGGAUGCGAGCGUUAUCCGGAUUUAUUGGGUUUAAAGGGUGCGCAGGCGGGAGGUCAAGUCAGCGGUAAAAUGUCGGGGCUCAACCCCGGCCGGCCGUUGAAACUG
rnacentral:rRNA from 1 species